UAUCUACUGCUUUUGCUUUCAUGUUUGAUUGCUUGGUUUGCCUUGAUCAGUCAGCUUGCGGUCAUGGUCCACGCCGCUCUGUGUAUGUGUGACUGUUUUGGUGCUGCUGGCUGGCAAUCGCUCUCUUUUAGUGCUCUGUGUUCCUCCCCUCUGCACUCAUACGUUUCCUUCCUUUUUUCCUUUUUCUCCAGAGUGCGGCUCCGCUGAUUGGCCGGUGUCAUCAUAUGACACGGCUGCUUCAGCGCUAAGGAGUGUGGGAAUUGUAGGCAUCUCAGCGACCAUGUGACCUCUGAGAUCCAAUCGCGAUGCACCCGCCUCCCCAACAGGCUAUAUAUAGCAUGAUAUGAUCAUUAUCUGUCUGCUACCAACAGGGUACUGACAGAUGUCUUUAUUCCUCUUAAAGAUAGGAGAUUAUCUGUGGACUUUUCAGCUGCAAUUGACUGGUCCUUGAUUUUUGCUGCAAACGACUAUCCUUUGACUUUCUAUCACCAGCUGAUGUUUGCUUGCACUCAGACUGUUCAUCUAGUUAAAUACUCCAUAUGAAUUGAGGCUCUUCAGUGCCCAUGUUAUUGUCUUACUUAAUUCCCCUGUAUUCACCUUGAUUUUAUUACGCUUCAAGUCCUGUCAGUUGAACUUGGAUUUCAAUAUCCACCCUGAGGGGGUUUUUCCUUGACUGGCUGUGCAUGAA